AAAGCUUUAUACGGAAUUAAACAGUAAUAUAAAUUAAGUGCAGAUAAACCAAGGUUUCAGGAAAAUGUAAAGCAUUGCUCUUUGGAUUAAGUACACGUUAAUAUAAAUAACAUAUAAGAAACUUAAGAAUAAUGAUUUUCAAAGUUACAUGUACUUUAGUUUUCUUUGUUGUAACCCUUGUCAAAAGUCAUAAAAACGAAAUCGGGCUAGAAGUUCCGACAUCAGUCUAUUAUGGUAACUUCAAAGACAGGUUAAAGUUUCCACCAACACCAAUGCCAAACUUUAAUGUUAUGCAAUAGUCGGGUCGAUGGUUUUAUCAAUUUCAUAAAGCACCUUGUAGUUGGUCUAUUUCUGAAGACUUCACAGAUUACCACCAGGACCUUGCUGUACAAAACAAUAGAGUUAUACAUUGUGAAACAAUGAGGCAAGUCUAUCUCUAAUUGCUUAAAAACGUAAAACAGUGUGUGUUUGUGAAAGAACAUACUUACUUAAUCCCAAAAUAGAUAUGUAUUCAUUGUUUACGGAACGUUUGGACUGUCUUAUGUGUAUAACGACUAAUAUACCUGGUUACAUGUCAUUGUGUUGAGUCCGAGAACAACAUGUUGAGUUGAAAUCCAAAUAUGCUGGCUGGAAAUCCCGAUGUGCUCAGUUAUUGAAGUGUUAUGAUGUGCACUGAUUACAUUUCCUUCAGCCAAGUCAAUAUAGUGCCGUAUGCAUUAAUUAGUCUUAAUGUUCAGUUGUUAAUACAAACAGGCAUGUGGUAAUACAAUAAGAUAUGUUGUAGGUCUUUAUUAUGUUCAAUUGUAAUAAUAUGAUGUUUUGUGCACUUCUCAUUAUGUUCAACCAUGAAAAUAGAUUUAACCAGGUAUAUCACUCAUUCUACACAUAAGACAGUUCAGGCGUACCAUACUUGUUCGUUAAUGCUAUCACUUACAUACUUGUUCUGACAAUUGAAUAUUAUUUCAGUCGGCAAAAGCAAUCAUACAUUACAUAUUGCUUUGAUUUCGGCAUAUUGUUUAAGCAAAACAGCGACUUUUGUAAAUUAAUUAUGUACAAGAGAUCAUUCUUUUCACUAAAAUAGAGAAAAUAAGAAUCCCUAAAGUUUACAUAAAAUCUACACUUUAGAAACUUUGAACACGUCAAAUUAAACAAUUUACAUAUGUGUCUAGUUAAAACUACAAUGUGUUAUACUUAAAUAGAUUUAAGUUAAACAUUAAAUCACAUUAUUUAACUUUGUUACCUAGCCUUCAAUGUCAUCGAAACAUUUUAUGUACUUCAUGGUUCAACUUCAACUCAUAUUGCUGUUUUUGCAUCAGUAGUCUGAAUUGUCCAAUUUUAACACAAUCCUACCAUGCUGUUAAACUACAAAAAAUUAAACUUGCGGGAAUAAGGGAUAUCAGUUACGAGCUGACGUCAUAUUUGAUGGAAUAACUUUAUUACUGCAGAUAUUAAAUUAAGAUGAAACAAUUCCUCCUAAACAUGCACUUCUUAAUUAUCUUUAAGAAUAUGAAAGGAAAACAGUUAAAUGUGCAAUCUUUAUCUUAUGCAGAUACCAAGACAUUUGCAAUAGCGUAACAUCCGUACUAUCAUUGACAGAUAACCCUGGUAUAUUUACAGGAAAAGACCCAAUUGGUGAUAAUUGGAGUGGUCAAUGUUUUGUUGUUGCAACUGAUUAUAAAAGUUUCUCUAUAACAUGGGGUCAUUGCUCAACCAAAAAUGUGAAGAUACAACACUAUAUGUUAAGACAAGACAGCCUAAACCAAGCAAAGGUGUUCUGCAACAGAUUGAAAAUGUUCUAAAUAAUAUAUGGGGUAUCUCUGUUUACCACUUAACAAAAGUUAAGUAGGAAAAACGUAGGUAUUUCUUUUAAAAGAGCUUUAGUUUAUUUCAUCUUUUAUUAUUCGUUUUCCAGCUCGAAAUGAUAUCUUAUAGUUGUUUCAUUUAUACCACCUCAUAUAUAUCUAAAACACAUGGCAUGGAGUGGAUGGCAAAAACAAAUUCCGUUUUUCUUUAUUUUGUCACCUUAUUCUUGUUCUAUAUUUCCAUCCAAUAUUUGGUAAAAACGACAUAAUGAGGCAGGACAAUUACGAUAUAUAUGCUAAUAUAAGAAAUUUAAAAUCAUUAUUAACAAGAUCAACACUCUUUCGUUUGCUUAAAGAUCUUUGAAAUAAUUUAUACUCACCUCCAUUUUUUUGUGUUGCCUCUACAGAGACAAAGCGACAUAUUAAGAUGAUUAUUGCCAGAAUAAGGGCCCUUAAGAAAGGUUUUUUUAUUUUUAAAUACGUCAGGACUAUUCCCCUCAUAACACUUAUGUAAUUUCAAUAAAACUUUACAUGAUUGAUCAAUAGCUUCAGUAUUUGCGCAUGUUACACGGGUUUUCCGGUUGAAUUAUUUUUGGUUGAAUAGAAACGCGUUUUUCUUUUGUUAAUGGUUUUUGUUAUCUCCUGCCUCAAUUUAGCUGCAAAAUGCAACUGGCUAUCAUCGGGAGACACAUGUGUCCACCGAUCGCUCUUGUUCAGAAAUAUUUCAAUAAAAUCAAUAACAAAUCAAGAAAAGAUAACGACAGUUAUGAAAUAUUCCUGUCCUGUAUGGUUACUUUUAUUCUGAAUAUUAACAACUAGUUUUCUCAUUUGAAUUAACCCUUAGGUUAUAAUAAAUUUGUAAUAAUUAUGUUGUGCUUUCUGUUCUUCUUCAGCUUGCCCGUCCGAGAGAAAGAUAAGAAGUUAAAAAACGACAGACCUGAUGACAAUGUGAUAAACAAAGUAUAAACAAGACUAGUGUAUACUGUAUUCCUAGAAAUUAUUUCGCGUUUUUUAAGUUAGCGGUUGUUACAUUACCGUCGCCGCGAACAUGUGUAGCUACAAGCACUUAGAUCAAUAAUGUGUCAUUAUGAUAUACUAUGAUGUAGCUUACAUAGCUUUUACCUAUGCUUAACUGAUAAACAUUUCAAGGUAAAAUUUCCCUUUGCAAAACAGUCUUGCUGUUUGAAAGAACUUUGUAUCCAUUUUAUUUACAAAUUAAAUAAAAUCAUUUAAUACAUGCAUGUUAUUUAAAGUUUGCAAACUUUGAAUAAAGGUGAUUUU